rnacentral:rRNA from 1 species
CCCUUAGAUGUUCUGGGCCGCACGCGCGCUACACUGAUGCAUUCAACGAGUCUAAAACCUGCUCUGAUAGGGGUGGGUAAUCUUUUGAAUGUGCAUCGUGAUUGGGAUAGAUGAUUGAAAUUUUUCAUCUUCAACGAGGAAUGCCUAGUAAACGCAAGUCAUCAGCUUGCAUUGAUUACGUCCCUGCCCUUUGUACACACCGCCCGUCGCUCCUACCGAUUGAAUGAUACGAUGAAUAUCAUGGAUUGAGGAUGCAAGUAGGUUCACCUAUCUUCAUCUUCGAGAAGUGAAGUAAAUCUUAUCAUUUAGAGGAAGGAGAAGUCGUAACA